GAUGAAGAACGUGGUGAAAUGCGAUAAGUAGUGUGAAUUGCAGAAUUCAGUGAAUCAUCGAAUCUUUGAACGCACAUUGCGCCCCUUGGUAUCCCGAGGGGCAUGCCUGUUCGAGCGUCAUUUCACCACUCAAGCCUGGCUUGGUGUUGGGCGACGUCCUCUUUGGGGACGCGCCUCGAAACGCUCGGCGGCGUGGCACCGGCUUUAAGCGUAGCAGAAUCUUUCGCUUUGGAAGUCGGGGCCCCGUCUGCCGGAAGACCUGCUCGCAAGGUUGACCUCGGAUCAGGCAGGGAUACCCGCUGAACUUAAGCAUAUCAAUAAGCGGAGGA
rnacentral:misc_RNA from 1 species